UGCCAGCAGCCGCGGUAAGACGAACCGUCCAAACGUUAUUCGGAAUCACUGGGCUUAAAGGGUGCGUAGGCGGCCUGGCAAGUUGGGUGUGAAAUCCCUCGGCUCAACCGAGGAACUGCGCUCAAAACUGCCAGGCUCGAGGGAGAUAGAGGUGAGCGGAACUAAUGGUGGAGCGGUGAAAUGCGUUGAUAUCAUUAGGAACACCGGUGGCGAAAGCGGCUCACUGGAUCUCUUCUGACGCUGAGGCACGAAAGCUAGGGUAGCGAACGGGAUUAGAUA
rnacentral:rRNA from 1 species